UACAGAGGGUGCGAGCGUUGUUCGGAAUUACUGGGCGUAAAGCGCGCGCAGGCGGCCCUUUAAGUCUACCCGUGAAAUGCCGGAGCUCAACUCCGUGCACGCCGGGGGAUACUGGAGGGCUGGAGACAGGUAGAGGCAGGCGGAAUUCCGGGUGUAGCGGUGGAAUGCGUAGAGAUCCGGAAGAACACCAGAGGCGAAGGCGGCCUGCUGGGCCUUGUCUGACGCUGAGGCGCGAAAGCGUGGGGAGCAAACAGG
rnacentral:rRNA from 1 species